rnacentral:misc_RNA from 1 species
UACAGAGGGUGCAAGCGUUAAUCGGAAUCACUGGGCGUAAAGGGCGCGUAGGCGGCGCUGGAGGUCGGGCGUGAAAGCCCGGAGCUCAACUCCGGAAUUGCGCUCGAAACUUCAGUGCUGGAGGACGGAAGAGGAGAGUGGAAUACCCAGUGUAGAGGUGAAAUUCGUAGAUAUUGGGUGGAACACCAGUGGCGAAAGCGGCUCUCUGGUCCGGACCUGACGCUGAGGCGCGAAAGCGUGGGGAGCAAACAGG